AGCGAACGCUGGCGGUAGGCCUAACACAUGCCAGUCGAACGGCAGCACAGUAAGCGCUUGCUCUUACGGGUGGCGAGUGGCGGACGGGUGAGGAAUACAUCGGAAUCUACUUUUUCGUGGGGGAUAACGUAGGGAAACUUACGCUAAUACCGCAUACGACCUACGGGUGAAAGCAGGGGAUCUUCGGACCUUGCGCGAUUGAAUGAGCCGAUGUCGGAUUAGCUAGUUGGCGGGGUAAAGGCCCACCAAGGCUACGAUCGGUAGCUGGUCUGAGAGGAUGAUCAGCCACACUGUAACUGAGACACGGUCCAGACUCCUACGGGAGGCAGCAGUGGGGAAUAUUGGACGAUGGGCCAAAGCCUGAUCCUGCCAAACCGCGUGGGUGAAGAAGGCCUUCGGGUUGGAAAGUCCUUUUGUUGAGAAAGAAAAGCAGCAGGUUAAUACCCCGCUGUUCUGACGGUACCCAAAGAAUAAGCACCGGCUAACUUCGUG
rnacentral:rRNA from 1 species